AUACGGAGAAGAACAGAAGAGAUAAGGAUCUUGGAUGUUUAAUUUACCCCGCGAUUCGUAUCAUCAAUUAUUCGCACAGAGUUUUUUUUUCAUAAUCUUAUGACGAAUAUAUUUUGACACCGUUGUACUGCAAUUUGUCGUCACCCGCACAAUUAGCUUCCGGCAAGUUGCGCAAAUUGAGACGUCGUCGUCGUCGUCGUUGUCGUUGUUGUUGUUUCGUCUUUACGUUUUUAUCGGUUAACUUUUCUAAUUACAUUGAAAACGAAAUGUUGAAAAGUUAACGCAUCAGCGAGAAAGUGACAAAUUAUAAUUUCUUCCCCCUCCUCCAAACUGCUCAAAGUACUUCGCCACUUUUUUUCCUUUCCUUUUUUAUCUUCGUUUCUUUUAUUUUCUUCUCUUCAUCUACUCAUCAUCUUUUUUACUCCUCGACGGACACGCUCAACGGAUGAACUUUUAUCGAUAUAUUUUACUCCAGUUGCUCGUAUUCGUUCAUUCAAACAAUCUUAAACUGUUGCUGAUCUAAAAUUACACACCAUUUUGACGGAUGCGACGGAUAACUUUUGUGAAAUCCUGUUCCCCUCGAGAAUCGAACGAAAUUUAUUUCACCCACCCGCAUACUCUUCCUAUCCCAAUGGCGUACGAUAUCGAUUUCAUACCACCCACCCAUUUCGAUAUUAAUAAAUAAAUAAUGAGUUAAGAAAUCCGACCCGCAUGUAUACGCAUUUUCUAAAACUCAACUACAUCCACGAGUGUACACACACUGUAUUUGUGUAAGUAAGUCAUGGCUGCUCGAAAUGUCAAGUCCUUCAUAGACAUUUUUUACUCCUCCGUUUCUUACGUCGCUACGUCUUAAAUUCUCCCAUAAAUGCAACCGCACGACGCUCUGAUAAUAAUCGGCGAUUUUACGCUCGACGAAAUGAUACAGAUGUACUUGAAUAAAUCUUCGUUUGGGGUCGAAUUCAAAAAAAUUCACCGAAUUCCGUGCGACUCGAAGCUAAUUAGCCGCUCCGCUGCUAAUGAGUGGCGAUGCGCGUGUGCCGUUCCCGUGUGUGUGUGUGUGUGUGUGCGAGAAGAGCGAAUAAGACGGGCUUGGCAAGGGCGGUCGGCAGGGAGAUGGAAAAGAAGCGACCGAGGGAGGAACAUCAUUUGUAAUUAGCUCCGCAUAACUUACUGCGGUGUAAGAGAGUAAGCUAGGCGUUGUAGUAUAAGGUGUACGUGCGCUUACCACCGUCGUGGUUUAGUGGUGGAACUUCAGAGACGGAAAGUAAAUUGUACACCUCGUUGCCUCCGAGUAAACUUCGGGAUUUGGUGUGGGCCUCCUAAGGAUCGUCUCCUGGCCACCGGGGAGUCGUUAGCGGGUCCGGAGAGGAUCAACCCAAAUUUUAACACCUCCCGCCCGAGCGCGAAAGCGAUGAACUCGAAAAUUUACGAUCGAAAAACCAAGAAAAAAAAACAAAAAAAGCCAAACAAAAACUUAAUAAAUAGGUUAAAGUCAUUAAAACGUGGAGGGGAGAGGAGCCGUCGCGUCGGCGGGCCUUGUCGUCGGAGUUCACAAAUUUUUGGGAAAAAAUUGCAAUUGUUUAUUGCCGAGUGACGUUUAGAAAGUAUUCUUCGUUACUUUUGCUCCCGAUCCGUUUUUCGCCAAUCCGGAUCACCUUAUUUAAAAUGUAUCGCUCUCAUGAGUCUGCACGAAUCGCAGCACACAUCUGAUUCGCCGAAUGGGAAGCGCCUUCAGAUCCUUAGAUUCGUUUUAUCUUCAAAGAAGUUGGAUAUUGUGAUCUAAAUCUGCAAGGACUGCACGACUUACGAGUAUUACGUGCGCAUCAUUCACUCUUCGCAUCAAGCCGAGCAAUUUUCACCGGUUGACGUGUUAGUUUUUUAUUUCUUCUUCAUUCGUUUUCUCUCUCUUCAUCUCUUAUCGAUAACGAUGCUUAUUGUUGAGAUUGUUAGUUAAACAUCAAGAUUAUUCACACUACUCCGGUUACGAUAUAAUCAUACCCGGUAUUAUUUCCUCUCUCGAAGAUCUGCUCUCGCAAUAAAAUCUUUAUGUACCAUCCAUUGAUGCCGAUGCUGAUGCUGAUGAUGAUGAUGAUGAUAAUGAUGAUGAUGAUGAUGUAACGAUCACCGUGGGCAGUAGAGAAAUAAUCGUAAAUAUGUCUGUGUAAUAAAAAUAAUUGUAACGAUAACGAUAAUAUAUUGUAUUGACCCAUGAAA